GGGGCUGUAGCUCAGUUGGGAGAGCACCUGCCUUGCACGCAGGGGGUCAGGAGUUCGAGUCUCCUCAGCUCCACCA
rnacentral:tRNA from 1 species